UACGUAGGGCGCAAGCGUUGUCCGGAAUUAUUGGGCGUAAAGAGCUCGUAGGCGGUUUGUCGCGUCUGCUGUGAAAACUCGAGGCUCAACCUCGGGCUUGCAGUGGGUACGGGCAGACUAGAGUGCGGUAGGGGUGACUGGAAUUCCUGGUGUAGCGGUGGAAUGCGCAGAUAUCAGGAGGAACACCUAUUGCGAAGGCAGCUCGCUGGGACGUAACUGACGCUGAGACGCGAAAGCGUGGGGAGCAAACAGG
rnacentral:rRNA from 1 species